rnacentral:lncRNA from 1 species
CUUUAUCAAUCUUAACAUCAAAAAAGAGAGAAAACCAGAAUGUCUCAAGCUUCCUGACAUGACACAACAGGAAGCACAAAGCACCACCCGUAUUUAAACAGAACCUGAAUCUAAUCCAGCAAGUAAACCUAACUAUAACUUACAAGUAUGAAUGACAGUGAAAUACAGCAAAUGAUACCAUGAGAAAGGCAAUCAACCAAAUCUAGAAUAUGGGAUAUGUAAGACAAAUGACCUUUCAACAAAUGACUGUUUUUUUGAAAGGGAGGGGAGAGUUAUUGUUCUAGAUUAAAAUAAUGAGACAUAACCAUCAACUUAUGGAGAUAUAACAACCAAUUAUUUGGUGUGAACCUUAACUGGAUCUAUACUCAAAUAAACCAAACACAAAGACUUCUUUUGGAUAAUGGGGGAAAUGUGAAUGCGGACUGGGUAUCAGAUAUUAUGUUAUGAGGUUUUGUGUGACAUGGCACUGCGAUGACUUCUUCUGUUUACGUGUUUUAAAUAGAGAUGCACACUAAGAUUGGGUAUCAGAUAUUAUGUUAUGAGGUUUUGUGUGACAUGGCACUGCGAUGACUUCUUCUGUUUACGUGUUUUAAAUAGAGAUGCACACUAAGAUAUUUACAGAUGAAACAGUAAGUCUGGAAUGUGCCUUAAAAAAACUCAUAGAGGGUGUGGCAGCUCACACCUGUAAUCCCAGCACUUUCGGAGGCUGAGACAGGCAGAUUGCUAGAGCUCAGGAGUUCAAGAUCAGCCUGGACAACAUGGCAAAAUCCCACCUCUAGAAACCUCCCCCAAACCCCCGCGUGUGCGCGCGUAUGCACACACACACACACGCACACAAAAUCAGCUAGGCAUGGUGGCACACGCCUGUAGUCCUUGCCACUCAGCAGGCUGAGGUGGGAGGAUCACUUGAGCCCAGAAGUUCAGCUUGCGCAACACAGUGAGAUCCCCUCUCUUAAAAAACAUCAGAAAAAUACUCAGAGUAAUGACAUGUAAGAGACACAUAAGGAACCCGGAAGUUACUUUGUGCAUGACUGAAAACAUUCUAGUGUUUUCUAAAGUAACUUGCCUUGAUUUAUAUAUGCUCCUACAAAUAUAGAAACAAAGGACCAAACUAAAGAGGAUUAAAAGUAAUAAGAGGGUAGAAAAAGCAGAGAAUUUAGGGAUUCAGGAAAAACAGGUUCCAAUAUAAACUAACUACAUGGUCUUAGGCAAGCCAUUCAACCUCUCAAGUAUGUUUCCUCAUGUUAAAACAAGGUUAAGCCCAGGUGUGGUGGCUCACGCCUGUAAUCCCAGCACUUUGGGAGGCUGAGGCGGGUGGAUCACGAGGUCAGGUAUUCGAGACCAGCCUGGCCAACAUGGUGAAACCCCAUCUCUACUAAAAAUACAACACUUAGGCAGGAGUGGUGGCAGGCGCCUGUAAUCCCAGCUACUCAGAAGGCUAAGGCAGGAGCAUCAGUUGAACCCAGGAGGCGGAGGUUGCAGUGAGCCAAGACUGUGCCAUUGUACUCCAGCCUGGGUGACAGGAUGAGACUCCGUCUCAAAAAACAAACAAACAAACAAAAAAACCGCACAAGGUUAACUCCCAUCUCAUAGGAUUAUGGAAAAUUUAAAUUAAGUAAGAUUGAAAGUGCUCUCAUUUCAUUCACCAAUUUGAAAGCCAUUUAUUAAGUAGCCAUUAGGUAGCACACACAUAAUAUACAUAAAAGAGCAUUACUGUGAUUAAAAAUGAAAUGAGUAAUCAAAUUCCAAUUCAAUCUAAUUUAAACUUACCAUAUGGGCUAAAAAAGUCACACGUUUUAAGAGAGGCUUCAUAAUUAGUAACAAGUUCCUGGAUUAUAGAAACCUGUUAAAGAAACAUAUUUUUAAAAUUUAAAAAUAUCUUCUUGAAGGUAUUUUUACCUAUUAUGGUUUAAAUUACAUUUGGAAAAUAUACAGCUUAUUUCAGAACUAUAAAUUAAUUAAAAGACUAGGGUAUCUGCUUUGUCCCCAUUCCUAACAUGAGUAUUUCCCCGCUUUGGAGAAGGGGUGGAAAAAAACACAAAAUAAUGGACAUUGCUAUAUAUAUGGACCACUCACAAGACAAAAAAAAAAAAAAAAAAAUGGACCACUCCUAUAAGGGACACAUUAUAUAAAUAUUCAGAUUUUCUAAAAUGUCAUGCAUUGCAAAAAAGUGAAAUGAUUCAAGGUUUGAAAAUAAGUGAAAUUAAAAAUGACUCUUUUGCUUAUUAUUGUUAGCAAUCCUACAAUAUAAUAAUUGUAUUGUACUUACUAUAAUUACGGGGUUUCUUAACCAAUUUACUUAUCUACCUACUACAAAAUAAGGUCUGGUGCUCACUUCAGCAGCACGUAUACCAAAAUUGGAACAGUAAGAGAUUGGCAUGGCGCCUGUGAAAGGAUGACACACACAUUCAUGAAGCGUUCUAUAUUUUAAAAGGAAUAUUUCUUCAUUGUUUUGUGAAAACUGGGGCUUUGACAUCUUUAUUUUCAGAAAAACAAUUAUAUUUCUCUUAUUUCCCUACGCCUCUUUACAAACUAACCAAAAUUCACUAUGGUUCCCCUCACACUGAAGUGGUCAUGUGUCACAAACUCAACAGAUUUUUGCAUAUAUGGCUACAAAAGAAACCUCUUCACGCAUACCAUUUAAUAUAAGAAGGUAUAAUUUAAUUAGCUUUAUUUUGAAUCCGGAUUACUCCUCAUGCCACAAAGACACAGGACAGUGUCCAUGAAACCACUGAUCAUCCUAGACACUAGUCAAAACACAAGGCCAAACUGUAACACUUUUCAGGCCUACAUGAUAGCUUUCUCACAUGAUGCUGCAGUAUACGGCAGGAUCUCUAGUAAAGUUCAAUGGACAAUGUGGAAAUAAGGUAGGACUAUACAUUAACAGUAAGGAACAUGUGUAAAUAAGAGAAAAAGCAGAAUGUGAAAAAAAUUUACACAUACUAUGACUUCACUAAAACAUGUAUGUACAGACACCACAUACUCAAUGAAAAUAUGACCAGACAUUAGGGUAGUAGAAAAUGGGUACAUUCUUUGUGUUUUCUUUUUUAAAAAACAAAGAUUGUUUAAUUUAAAAACAAUGGUUCUGAAAGUGUUAUCUUCAGAUCAUUAAUAAUACUGUUAAACAUUAGUGUCACCAUCAUGUGGCAAUUUGUUAGAAAUAUUCUGUACAAUCUGUUUUGGGGUGUGUGUGUGUGUGUGUGUGUGUGUGUGUGUGUAAGAGACAGGGUCGCCCUCUGUCACCUAGGCUGGAGUGCAGUGGUGUGAUAGUCGCUCACUGUAGCCUUGAACUCCUGUGCUCAAGCAAUUGUCCCACCUCAGCCUCCCAAGCAACUAAGACUACAGGCAUGUAUUACCAUGCCCUGAUAAUUUUUUUUUUUUUUUUUAAGAGACAAAGUCUCACUACAUUGCCUAGGCUUGUCUGGAACUCCUGGGCUCAAGCAAUCCUCCCGCCUCCACCUACCAAAGUGCUGGGAUUACAGGUGUGAGCCACCAUGCCUGGCCUGUACAGUCUGUUUUUAACAAGCCGUCUGUAAAUUCUGAUACACAAUUAAGAGUUUGAGAACCACUGAUAAAAAAAAAAAUUGCAAAGACUUUUUUUUAAGCAAAAUUAAAGUUAACAGACAUUUUUAAUCCACCAUAACCUCUCCACCAAUCUCACCUAGAAUAUCUGUAACUUAAAAACCUUUUUUACAAACUUAGAAAUUUAGUACUCAAGUUGUUAAACUUAUAAAGGCAAAUAAUUUUUUUUCAGGAACUUGCGCCAUCUACUGGUAGUUGCUAAAACUGCAACCAGAGGUGGCUUUUAAAAGGGCGGACGUUUAUGCAUCUCUAGGGUGAAACCUAUGUUUUGUUUUGUUUUGUUUUGUUUUGAGAUGGAGUCUCGCUCUGUCACCAGGCUGGAAUGCAGUGGCGCGAUCUCUGCUCACCGCAACCUCCGCCUCUUGGGUUCAAGCAAUUCUCUGCCUUAGCCUCCUGAGCAGCUGGGAUUACAGGCACCCGCCACCACACCCGGCUAAUUUUUCUAUUUUUAGUAGAGAUGAAGGGGUGAAACCUAUUUUUAAAGAAGUCAGUUUUAACAAUAAAGGGUACCACAAAACAUACACUGAAGUUACAUAUAAUCCUUCAUAAAAGAAUAUAAAUACUUCUGAAUAAAACAGAUCUCCAGAUUCAGAACUUCAAAACAAGAUCUGAUUACGGGGGAAAAAAGGUAAUGGAAAAUUCAUAGGAUAUCUCCUACAUUUAAAAAAACAACAAAGGGGACUGACCGUUGCGGUUCAUUAGGCAUACUUCUUGAAUAUAUUUUAUAUAUACAUAAAUUUUUGUUUUUUUGAGACCAAGUCUCACUCUGUUGCCUAGGCUGGAGUACAGUGGUGUGAUCUCAGCUCACUGCAACCUCUGCCUCCCAGGUUCAAGCAAUUCUCCUGCCUCAGCCUCCUGAGUAGCUGGAACUAAAGGUGUGCACCACCAUGCCUGGCUAAUUUUUGUAUUUUUAGUAGGGAGGGGGUUUCGUCAUGUUGGCCAGGCUGGUCUCCAACUCCUGACCUCAGGUGACCCGCCCACCUAGGCCUCCCAAAGUGCUGAGAUUACAGGCAUGAGCCACUGUGCCAAGCCAAAAUUUAUAGUUACUUUAUUUUUAUUUUUUGAGACGGGGUCUCACUCUCUCACCCAAGCUGGAGUGCAGUGGUGUGAACUCGGCUGCCUGCAACCUCCACCUCCCAGGCUCAAGCCAUCCUCCUGCCUCAGCCUCCUGAGUAGCUGGGACUACAGGCAUGCACCACCACACCUGGCUAAUUUUUGUAUUUUUUGUAGAGACGGGGUUUUGCCCUGUUGCCCGGGCUGGUCUCAAACUCCUGAGCGCAAGCGAUCUGCCCACCUUAGCCUCCUAAAGUGCUAGGAUUACACGCAUGAGCCACCAGCCCUGGCCUUAUGGUUACUUCUCAUUCAGUAAUUAAGUGAACAAUUUUCUAAAUUUUCUAUGAAAGUUAAUCUAAGAAGUUUUACUCAAGUAUAAGACUUAUUUCGCUCAAGUUUACUUACCAUUUAUAUUUAAUUAGGUAGUGUGUAAUAUGACAAAUUAAUAUGUAAUAGCUAUUCUUCUUUAAAAUGGUGUUUUGCCUCCAUUAUUUUAAAGUCAAGAAAGCCAAUCCACUUAAGUAUCUGAGAUCGCAACAAAAACAUAAAUGGCCACCUUAAAUUUUAUGGCCCCACAUUUUUCUUACAAUGUGAAAAAUUUUCCAAGUUCAGCCACCUUCUCCUGGUUUACUUUCUUCUAACAGCUACAUUAGAUCAAGAUGGAAGAAGCUUUUUAUCUUUGUUAAUAAAAUCUAACCUAAGAUAAUACCAUAACUGUUAUAAUUUCCUAAAGUAUGUCCUUGGUGACCAGCUUUUCUUAUGUAAGAGUUAAAAGAACUCUUCAUUAACCUUAAAGACAAAGUCCCACAACAUCAUAACCGAUACACAUUUUUUUCGCAAUGAAGAGACAAAUCACAGGUUUAAAAUGUCACUGCAAUAUGAAAGUUACUAAAUUAAGUACACUACUUUACCAGCAAGGACCAAAAUUGCUGAAUUAGGUUCUGAUAUAAGCACAAUUACUAGUGAUAAUUUUGGUGCUGAAGGGGCUAGUUACAGAGGUAAACUGUCCAAGAACAAUGACAAUAAAAUAAAAGUAACUACAGAGAUGAGGUGUGAGAAGGGUGGGACUUACCAUCUAAUUUAGAGAGUAAGGGAAAAUUACCAUUUCUUGAACAUAUUCAAACCAAGUACUUUACAAACUUUAUUAUUUAAUUAAAACACACACCAAUGCUUUACGUAUUAUUUUCCCCAACUUUAUGAAAAUACAAAUAUUCAUAUUCAAAGCACACGAGCACUGAUGUCCAACUUCAAUGGAAUCAAAGUGUACCAGCCUAGGCAAACCUGGAUGUUGACUCAUUGAACGUCUUCACUUAAGAGCCUGACACUCACAAACUAAUGGCUAAAAAACAAGUACUUUCUAACAGUGAAUAUGGAAGUCCCAAAUCAAUGUACACCUCUUCUUAGAGCCUUCAAACAUUUUGGGGCUGGGUGCAGUGGCUCAUGCCUAUAAUAAUCCCACAGCACUUUCGGGGGCUGAGGCAGGCAGAUCACUUAAGCCCAGGAGCCCAAGACCAGCCUGGGCAACAUGGUAAAACCCCAUCUCUACAAAAAAAUACAACAAAAGUUAGCUGGGUGUAGUGGCCCGUGCCUGGAGUCCCAGCUACUUGGGAGGCUAAGGCAGGAGAAUCGCUUGAGCCCAGGAGGUGGAGAUUGCAGUGAACCAAGAUUGCGCCAUUGUGCUCCAGCCUGGGCAACGGGAGUGAAACUCUUAUCUUAAAAAAAACAAACAAACAAAAAAAAAAAACAAAAAAAAACUGGCAGGGCGCGGUGGCUCAAGCCUGUAAUCCCAGCACUUUGGGAGGCCGAGGCGGGUGGAUCAUGAGGUCAGGAGAUCGAGACCAUCCUGGCUAACACGGUGAAACCCCAUCUCUACUAAAAAAUACAAAAAAACUUAGCCAGGUAUGGUGGCGGGCGCCUGUAGUCCCAGCUACUCCGGAGGCUGAAGCAGGAGAAUGGCGUGAACCCGGGAGGUGGAGCUUGCAGUGAGCCGAGAUCACACCACUGCACUCCAGCCUGGGGGACAGAGCGAGACUCCGUCUCAAAAAAAAAAAAAACAAAACUGAUUUCCUUUUUUGGCCAGGGAAGUGGGGAGACAGGGUCUCGCUGUGUUACCCAGGCUGGAGUGCAGUGAUGCAGUCUAAGUUCACUGCAGCCUUCAACCUUCCAGGCUCAAGUGGUUCUCCCACCUCAGCCUUCCAAGUAUCUAGAAUGCGCCACUGUACUUGGCUGAUUUUUGUAUUUUUUUGUAGAGACACUGCCUCACUACAUUGCCCAGGCUGAGCUCAAGCAAUCCUCCUGCCUUGGACUCCCAAAGUGCUGGGAUAAAAGACGUGAGCCACCACGGUGGCCUGGCACAUUUUGGUUUCAUGUUUGACUUUUUUUUUUUUUUUUGAGACGGAGUCUCGCUCUGUCACCCAGGCUGGAAUGCAAUGGUGCGAUCUCAGCUCACUGCAACUGCCCCCUCCCGGGUUCAAGCGAUUCUCCUGCCUCAGCCUCCCAAGUAGCUGGGAUUAUUCCACCACGCCCAGCUAACUUUUUUUUGUAUUUUUAGUAGAUUUAGGGUUUCACCAUGUUGGUCAGGCUGGUCAUGAACUCCUGACCUCAGGUAAUCUACCCACCUCGGCCUCCCCAAGGGUUGGUAUUACAGGCGUGAGCCACCACACCCGGCCACGUAUGACAUUUUAAAAAGUAUACAGACUGUUACCUUUAGUUGAACAAAAAUUAAACCAAAUUAAACUAAUUUUACUAAUUAUCUUUUGGAAUAAAUACAGAUUUUUAUCCUUCAAGAAAACCUGUUUUUCCUCACUAAAUCAGCAAAAUAAAAGACAAACAUAUGUAACACAUAGCACACAUAAGAAAAAAAAAGAAAGGACCAGGCACAGUGGCUCGUGCCCAUAAUCCCAGCACUUUGGGAUGCCUAAGUGAGAGGAUCACUUAGGCCAUGAGUUUGAGACCAGCCUGGGCAACACAGCAAGAUCCAUCUUUACAAAAUAAACAACUUAGCCAGGCAUGGUGGUACAUGCCUGUAGUCCCAGCUACUUGGGAGGCUGAGGUAGUAGGAUCACUUGAGCCCAAGGGUUUGAUGCUACAAUGAGUUACAAUCUCACCACUACACUCCAGCCUGGGUGAUAGAGCAAGACCCAGUCUCUAAACAAAGAUUUAAAAAAGAAAAAGAAAAAAAAAUUAGAAAAAAGACCAAAUUAAACCUAAAACAAGCAAAAGGACACAAUAAAGUGAAAAUUAAUGAAAUAGAGGAGGAAAGUCAACAAACCCAAAACCUGGCUCUUUAGAUCAAGAAAAUUGGCAAACCUUUAGCUAGACUGACAAAGUAAAAAAUAGAGAACACUCAAAAUAUUAAAACCAAAAACAGUAAGAGGGGAUAUUACCACUGACUUUAUAGAAAUAACAGACUAUGACACGCAUAUGCCAAUGCUGUAUAACAUAGACGAAAUAGACAAAUAUCUAAAACCAUGAAUUUCCAAAAGCCAGUCAAGAAGAAAUAGAAAAUCUGAAUAAACCAGUAAUGAAGAGUUUGAAUACAUAAUAAAAAACUACCCACAAAGAAAAGUCCAGGCCCAUAUGACUUCACUGGUAAAUGGUAAGUUCUACCACACAUUUAAAGAAAUAAUAAUACCAAUUCUUCACAAACUCUUCCCGCCCCCCCAAAAAAAGAGGAGAGAACAUUUCCCAAUUCAUUAUGAGGCCAGUAUCACCCUGAUAGCAAAAUCUGAUAAAGACAUGAAAAGAAAACUAGACCUUUAUCUCUUAGGAAUAUAAAUGCAAUAUCCUAAACAAAACACUAGCAAAUCGAACCCAUCAAUAUGGAAAAAGAAUUACCCACCAUGACCAAGUAGGCUUUCACCCAGCAAUGCAAGACUGGUUUAACAUCAGCCAGGAGUGGUGGCUCACACCUGUAAUCCCAGCACUUUGAAAGGUGGGUGCAUCACCUGAGGUCAGGAGUUCAAGACCAGCCUGUGCAACAUAGUGAAAUCCCGUUUCUACUAAAAAAUAGAAGAACUGGCUGGGUAUGGUGGUGCACGCCGGUAGUCCCAGCUACUUGGGAGACCGAGGCAGGAGAAUAGCUUGAACCCGCGAGGUGGAGGUUGCAGUGAGCCGAGAUUGUGCCACUGCACUCCAGCCCGGGUGACAGAGUGAGAUUGCAUCUUGAAAAAAAAAAUAAAAAUUGGUUUAACAUCUGAAAUCAAUUAAUGUAAAUAUACCAUAUAUCAAUAGAUUUUUUUUAAAAAAAAACCUACAUAAUCAUCUUAACACAGAAAAAGCAUGUGACAGAACUCAGUAACAGACUUUCGUGAUAAAAAUGCACAAUAAACUAGGAGUUGAAGGGAACUUCCUUGACAUUACAAAGGACAUAUAUGAAAAACCCACAGCUAACACAGUACUUAAUGGUGAAAAAUCUAGAUGCUUUUCCUCUAAGAGCAGGAACAAGACAAAGAACUCUCACCACUUCCAGUCAAUAUUGUACUGAAGGUACCCAGGGCAAUUAGUCAAGAAAAUGAAAUAAAAAGGGUAUGGAUUGGAAAGAAAGAAGUAAAACGAUCUAUUUGCAGAUGACAUGAUGUUGCACAUAGAAAAUCCUAAGGAAUCUAUUAAAACAUCUAUAGCAACGAAUAAACAAGUUCAGCAAGGUUUCAGAAGACAAAAUCAACAUACAAAAAUCAACUGUAUUUCCAUAUACUAGCAAAGAAUAAUCCAAAAAUGAAAUUAUAAAAACAAUUUCAUCUAGACUACCAUCAAAAAGAAUGGCAUGCUUAGGAACAAAUUUAACAUAAGAUGCACAAGACUUGUACAAUAAUUACAAAACAUUGGUUGAAAGAAAUCAAAGACCUAAAUACAAAGAAAGACAUCCCAUGUUCGAAGAUUGACUUAAUAUUGUUAAGUUGAGGAUACUUCCAAAAUGAUCUGCAGAUUCAACAAAAUCCCUAUCAAAAUCCCAGAUGGCUGCUUUGCAGAAAUAGAAAAGCCAAUCCUAAAAUUCAAAUGGAAAUAAAAGGAACCCUGAAUAACCAAAAUAGUCUUGAAAAACAAACAUAAUAAAAAAAUAGUCUUGAAGAACAAAGUAGGAGGAGUCACACUUCCUGAUUUCUUUUUUUGUUUUUGUUUUUGUUUUUUUUUUUUUGAGACGGAGUCUCGCUCUGUCGCCACGCUGGAGUGUAGUGGCUCAAUCUCGGCUCACUGCAAACUCCGCCUCCUGGGUUCAAGUGAUUCUCCUGCCUCAGCCUCCCGAGCAGCUGGGAGUGUAGAUGCCUGCCACCACGCCAGCUAAUUUUUGUAUUUUUAGUAGAGAUGGGGUUUCACCAUGUUGGCCAGGAUGGUCUUGAUCUCUUGACCUCGUGAUCCACCCACCUCAGCCUCCCAAAGUGCUGGGAUUACAGGCGUGAGCCACCGCGCCCGGCUCACACUUCCUAAUUUCAAAACUUACCACACUGCUACAGUAAGCAAGACAGUAUGGCACUGGCACAGAUGGACUUUUAGCUUUUCUUGUAUACUGAUGUUUAACAUGUUAAAGAACCUUUCUAGCUAUUUGAGAAACUGUCCCUCCAAGGUCUAGCCAAUUCUUAAAGAUAACAAAGGGCCCAGCUAGGAGUAUGUCUUUAAUAUGCAAGCUAUUCAAAAUCCAGAGCCAUAUCUCCUCUAUCUGGCCCUUAUACCCCAAGAGGCACUACUCCUCUACCUAAUCAUCCCAGAGCCAGGUGCCAGGCAACGAGACCACCCCGCCAGUCUAAAGUAUGCCAAAAUUAUUCAAACUAAACUGUUCGCCCUGCCCUACCCUAAGGAAACCUCGAUGAAGGCAGUAGCCUAAUCCUUCCCCUCCCUCCUAACCACCCUAGCGUCUUCCCCAAGUGGCCCAGCAUGGCAUGGCACAGCAUGCCUCGUCUCUAGGACCUGUGUGAUAAACUGUGUUUUUUCCUGAGCCUCUCCAGUGUCUCCUAUUGUGGCUGCACCUGAAUAACAAUCUCAUAAAAGAAUAAUAGAAAACAAUAAAGACAGUCAUACACAUCAGUGGAACAGACUUGAGAGUCCAGAGGUGAACCCUCGCAUUUAUGGUUAAUCUUUUUUAGACAAGGCUGCCAAGAUCGUUCAACAGGGAAAGAAGAGUCUCUUCAACGAAUGGUGCUGGAAAACUGGAUAGUCACACACAAAAGAAUGAAUCUGGACUCCUACCACACCAUAUACAAAAUGAACUCAGAGUGAAUGCCUCAAUGCAAACUCUUACAAGUAAACAUGUUUAUAAAUCUUCAUGACGUUGGACUUGGAAAUGGUUUUUAGAUAAGACCAGAAAGCAUGAGUAACAAAAGGAAAAAAAAGAUAAGCUGGACUUCAUCCAAAUUAAAAAUUUUUAGUGCAUCAAAUGACACCAUUAAGAAAAUGAAAAGACAACCCGUAGCAGAACAGAAAAUAUUUUCACAUAAUGUAUCUGAUGAGAGACUUGUAUCUAGAAUAUAUUUUUAAAACUUCUGGCCCGGCGUGCUGGCUCACGCCUGUAAUCCCAACACUUUGGAAGGGUGAGGCGAACAGAUUGCUUGAGUCCAGGAAUUUAAGACCAGCCUGGGCAAAUGGUGAAACCCUGUCUCUAUAAAAAAUGAGCCAGGCACGGUAGCGCAUGCCUGUAGUCCCAGAUACUCAGGAAGUGGAGGUGGGAGGAUCACCUGAGCCCAGGAGGUCAAGGUUGCAGUGAGGUGAGAUCGCACCACUGUACUCCAGCCUGGGUGACAAGAGUGAGACCUUGCCUCAAAAACACAAACAACGAAAAAACCUAAAAAAACCCCACAAAAACAAAACUUCCUUAAACUGAACAAUAAAAAGAGAAAUAACCCAAUCUAAAAAUGGGCAAAGAAAAUUAAUGACAUUUCCCCAAAGAACAUAUACAAAGGCCAAUAAGCACAUAAAAGAUAAUACCAACGGUAAUCAGGAAAUGCAAAGCAAAACCUCAAGAAAUUACCAUUUCACACCCACUAUGAUGGCUAUCAUCAAUAAUAACAAGUGUUAAUGAGGAUGUGCAGAAAUCAGAACCCUCAUAUACUGCUUGUGAGAAUGUAAAAUGGUGGAGGAACUUUGGAAAAAGAGUCUGACAGUUCCUUAAAAGUUUAAACAUAGAGUUACCAUUUGACUCAGCAAUUCCAUUCCCAGAUACACACCUAAGAGAAAUGGAAGCAUGUCUACACAAAAACUUGUACACCAAAGUUCACAGCAGCAUUAUUCAAAAUAACCAAAAGGUAGAAACAAUCAAUGUGGUAUAUCCAUAAAAUGGAAUGUUACAUGGUCAUAAAAGGGAAUGAAGUACUGAUUCAUGCUACAAUUGCGGAUAAAAAUAUUAAGUAAAAGAAGCCAGACCCAAAAAGACUAUAUAUUAGAUAAGUCCAUUUAUAUAAAAGGUCCAGACUGGGAAAUCCAUAGACAGAAAGUAGGCUAAUGGUUGCCUAUAGCUGAGAGGGACGUGAAGGUUGUGAGAGAAUUACAGCUAAAGGAUAUGGAGUCUCUUUGGGGGAUGACAAAACAUUACAUUGCAGUGAUGAUUGCACAACUCUGUGAAUAUACAUUGAACUGUAUACUUUUAAUAGGUAAAUUUUAUGAUAUAUUAAUUAUAUCUCAAUAAAGCUGUUACCAAAACAAAAAUAGGUGGGGAAGCUACUGACAUCUCGAUGGUAGAGGCCAGGGAGUUUGCUAAACAUCCUACAAUGCAUAGGACAGCCCUACAUUACAAAGAAUUAUCUAGCCCAACACGUCAACAGUAGAAUCCUUUGUUAGGAAGGCUGUCCUGUACCUUGUGGAAUGUUUAGCAGCAUCCCUGGCCUCCACACACUGGAUGCCAGUAGCACACCUCACCUCACUGCAGCGACAAUCAAAAACCUCUCCAGACAUCGUAAAAUGUCCCAAGGGGAAAAAAUCCACUCCCCAACACCCUCAUUAAGAAGUACUGCUCUAAAGAGGACUUUCCAAGAUGGUUUUAAAACAACAGAUGAACUUCCACAACAGAAAUAAAAAUCACCAAAUCUGGUUCCACUAAAUUUUUAACAUUUCCAUGUGAAAACAAAAACAGAAAAACAAACACAAGACAGGAAAUAUUUCAGGCACACUGCUAGUGGCAAUACAAAUUGAUGUUUACAACCUUGUGAAAAACGAAUUUAUCUGUGUUUAUCAAGAACCACAAAAAUGUUCAUAUCCUUUACCCACUGAAUGACUCUGAGAGAAGAAAAUAUGAGAAGAAAAUAAUCCUAAGCAAAGCUAGUAUAAAGAUAUUUAAUAAUAACUUGAAAAACCAAACAAUGGAGGGAUGGUUCUAAAAGGUUAUGUAAUAACUAAAAAGGAUAAUGAAGAUUAUAUAACAACACAGUAAAAGCUUAUGAAACUGCUGGGGCAGGGAGGUGGGUGUAGGUUCACACCUACAAUCUCAGCACUUUGGGAGGCCAAGGCAGGCAAAUCUCUCGAGUCCAAGAUUUUGAGACCAGCCUGGGCAACAGUGAGACCCCACCUCUAUAAAAAAAAUUUCUAGGCCGGGUGCAGUGGCUCACGCCUGUAAUCCUAGCACUUUGGGAGGCCAAGGCGGGCAGACUGCCUGAGCUCAGGAGUUCGAGACCAGCCUGGGCAACAUGGUAAAACCCCGUCUCUACUAAAAUACAAAAAAAUAAAAUAAAAUUAGCCGGGUGUGGCGGUGUGCGCCUGUAGUCCCAGCUACUCGGGAGGCUGAGGCAGGAGAAUCACUUGAACCCAGAGGUGGAGGCUGCAGUGAGCCGAGAUGGUGCCACUGCACUCCAGCCUGGUGACAGAGCGAGACUCCAAACAAAAAAACCAAAAACAAAAACAAAUUUUUAAAAAGAAACUGCUAGGGGGAAAACAAAGAACAAAAUUUAUGGUCA